ACUGCCCCAAAUAGAUAAGUAGAUAAAAUAAAAGAAAAUCAAAAAGUUGAACCAACAAAAUAUUUUUGAUUUCAUUCGGAUCAAAACCUCAACUUGUUAAUCAGUAUCCAACCCACUAGCCAACGGUCGAAUUGUUAGACAAGUGACAAUAUCGUACUUCGUAUAAUAUAUGUUGGUUAUCAUUACUUCUAAAUGAUUACACAUUCCCUUCCCCCACCCCUCAUCUAGGCUGGUUGUCAAACCUAAAAGAGUUCUAAAAAAAGAUAAAACUAACGCCUCUAGAAUGCCUGUCGUCCCAAUUAUCGCCCAAGAGGCAUUGAGCUUCGCUAAUUUGAAUUUUUGGUCUAGACAAAUAAAAUUGUGUUUCCUAGUAGGACUCAAAGCGCGAAACAAAUAGGACAUUAUGUAGCACAUAAUGGUCCCAAGUAAGCCUCUUGAUAAAUUAAAGAGUGAUUAAUGUGAAUAGCAUGCAAGAUAAGUACUCAUUUAUUUUGAUGUAGUUAACCUAUAGUCAUGAUAUCUAUGUGUCACAUAAUUGUUUAUUGACGAAAAGGUAAUUAUCAAAAAUAUUAGAACAAUGUUGUAAAAUUGUGAAAAAACCAUAUCAAAGUAAAUAUGUUGGGGAGUGGUAGAAUGCUGGAAAUUAUU
rnacentral:lncRNA from 1 species